rnacentral:RNase_P_RNA from 1 species
CGAGAGAAGAAAAAUUGUCGCUGGUAUGAAGAAAGUGUUUUUUGCAGGGCAACCUGGUGAGAAAUGGCCCUUCAUACGGGAGGAAGGUCCGGACACCAAAUGGCGAAUGUAGCGGGUAACGCCCGUCCAUCGUGAGAUGAGGACUAGUGCAACAGAAAGUAUGUAUGCUCCCUCGGGAGGCGUAGUGAAAUCGGUAAACUCUACAUGGUGCAAGCUCAAAUAGGUUAGCGUUUUAAAGAGGGCCACUCCAGCUAACGGGUAGAGUGCUUGAGGUGAAGAGUAAUUUUCAUCCUAGAGGAAUGACAAUUCAAGACAGAAUCCGGCCUAAAUCUUCUCUCGGCAU